GAUGAACGCUGGCGGUACGUCUGACACAUGCAAGUCGAACGGUAAGCCACCUUCGGUGGCCUAGAGUGGCGAACGGCUGAGUAACACGUAGGAACCUACCCCUCAGUUCGGGAUAACGGGACGAAAGCCCCGCUAAUACCGGAUAAUAUCGAAAGAUUGAAAGGUUUACUGCUGAGGGAGGGGCCUGCGGGCUAUUAGCUUGAUGGUGGGGUAACGGCUCACCAUGGCGAUGAUGGCUAGCUGGUCUGAGAGGAUGAUCAGCCAGACUGGGACUGAGACACGGCCCAGACUCCUACGGGAGGCAGCAGUUCAGAAUCUUGCACAAUGGGCGAAAGCCUGAUGCAGCGAUACCGCGUGGGUGAAGAAGGCCUU
rnacentral:rRNA from 1 species